CAGGUCUUUGAGUUCAUUUUGCUCACAACACAAUAAUGGUGACAGCAGGUCUGAUCAGAGUCUCUGCAGCUCUGCUCUGGAUUGUCUAAUUGAUGGGAGUGAUGUCUCCCAGCAUCCUCUGCUGUGGAGGCCCGAGGGUCAGUCGGCCACAAUGAACUGCAGUCACACUAAGGAUGCUACUUUUUUCCAGAUGUACUGGUACAGACAGCUGCCAGGGGAGGGAAUGAAGCAAAUUGUUUUCACGACUCCAACUCCCCCAUAUAAAUAUGAAAGUGGCUUCAGUGAGGAGAAAUUUCCAGCAACAAAGAGCAAUGCUCUGACUGGAUCUUUGACGGUGGAGAAGCUGCUGCCUGAGGACAGUGGAGUGUAUUUUUGUGCUGUGAGUCAACACAGUGAUACAGGUCUAACUGAUGGAAGUGAUGUCACCCAGGCACCGGACAGACUGUGGGGGGAAAAGGGUGACAAUGCAACAAUACACUGCAGCCACACUAAGGACAGUACAUAUCGACAGAUGUACUGGUACAGACAGCUACCAGGGGAGAGAAUGAAGCAAAUCGUUUUUACAACUGCAUUCAGCAACCAUGAAUAUGAAAGCGGCUUCAGUGAGGAGAAAUUUCCGGCAACAAAGAGCGAUGCUCUGACUGGAUCUUUGACGGUGGUGAAGCUACUGCCUGAGGACAGUGGAGUGUAUUUUUGUGCUGUGAGUCAACACAGUGAUACAGGUGACUGAGACAGCUGCACAAAUACCCAACUGUUGGUGUCACAAUAAAUAAAAGACAGCUGUCUUUAAUGAACUGUAGAGGGAACUAUACACAAAUUGGUUACACUUUUCUUUAGACAAAGAUGAAGAAAAUUUAACUAAACUUUUAACC